GACGAACGCUGGCGGCGUGCUUAACACAUGCAAGUCGAACGAAGUGGCGAACGGGUGAGUAACGCGUAAUCAACCUGCCCUUCAGCGGGGGACCACAGUUGUAAACGACUGCUAAUACCUCAUACUGAAGGUGGUGCAUGCGUCUGAUUAGCUAGUUGGAGGGGUAACGGCCCACCAAGGCGAUGAUCAGUAGCCGGGCUGAGAGGAUGAACGGCCACAGUGGGACUGAGACACGGCCCAGACGCCGACGGGAGGCAGCAGUGGGGAAGCGUCCGCAAUGGACGAAAGUCUGACGGAGCCACGCCGCGGGAGUGAUGACGGCCUUCGGGGUGUAAAGCUCUGUUAAUCGGGACGCGGUACCGGAAUAGAAAGCCACGGCUAACUACGUGCCAGCAGCCGCGGUAAUAC
rnacentral:rRNA from 1 species